GACGAACCGUGCGAACGUUGUUCGGAAUCACUGGGCUUAAAGGGCGCGUAGGCGGGCGAUCAAGUCAAGGGUGAAAUCCUGCGGCUCAACCGUAGAAGAGCCCCUGAUACUGGUCGUCUCGAGGGAGGUAGGGGCGUGUGGAACUUCCGGUGGAGCGGUGAAAUGCGUAGAUAUCGGAAGGAACGCCGGUGGCGAAAGCGACGCGCUGGACCUCUUCUGACGCUGAGGCGCGAAAGCCAGGGGAGCAAACGGGG
rnacentral:rRNA from 1 species